rnacentral:misc_RNA from 1 species
CUGUUGGACUUGGGCAUCUAUCCUGUGCAGGAAGCCCUCAUGGUAUUUGGAGAGGCUCCGUUAUCAUGCAAGACUACCGGCACCUUAACAGAUUCAGGUGUGGAUGAGACAACUGCUACUACAUUGUUGUUUCCCAACAAGGCUGUCGCAACACUGAGCACAAGCACUGUGGUGAGACUCCCCAAUGAAGUGGAGAUAAGAGGAACCAAAGGUCAUAUCAAGGUGCCUUGCCCGUUUUGGUGCCCUACAAAACUUGAGGUGACAACCUCCAUUGGAGAGGCUGAUCUGAAGACCGAGCUGUUCGAGUUUCCCCUGCCAACAAAGGCUGACAAUAGCUUCCUCCACGUCAAUAGUGCUGGCUUCCGAUAUGAGGCAGAGUGUGUGCGACAGUGUCUUAUGAAAGGUCUGAAAGAGUGUCCAACUGCACGCCUAAAAGAGAGUUUGUAGGCGGCCGAGAUCCUGGACAGUGCCCGGCGUGAUGUGGGCUAUAAAAUACCUGCAGAUGACCUUUGACCUCUAACUCUAAAGGUCAUACCCCCCUUCAUAACCCUAUACCUAGGAAGCAACAGCAAUCAAACUUGGGAAAGCGCCUGUGCACGGCCAACCUCAUCCACAGGGUGUGAGCAUGAACGGGCCCAC